GAUGAACGCUGGCGGCGUGCCUAAUACAUGCAAGUCGAGCGAACAGACGAGGAGCUUGCUCCUCUGACGUUAGCGGCGGACGGGUGAGUAACACGUGGAUAACCUACCUAUAAGACUGGGAUAACUUCGGGAAACCGGAGCUAAUACCGGAUAAUAUAUUGAACCGCAUGGUUCAAUAGUGAAAGACGGUUUUGCUGUCACUUAUAGAUGGAUCCGCGCCGCAUUAGCUAGUUGGUAAGGUAACGGCUUACCAAGGCAACGAUGCGUAGCCGACCUGAGAGGGUGAUCGGCCACACUGGAACUGAGACACGGUCCAGACUCCUACGGGAGGCAGCAGUAGGGAAUCUUCCGCAAUGGGCGAAAGCCUGACGGAGCAACGCCGCGUGAGUGAUGAAGGUCUUCGGAUCGUAAAACUCUGUUAUUAGGGAAGAACAAAUGUGUAAGUAACUAUGCACGUCUUGACGGUACCUAAUCAGAAAGCCACGGCUAACUACGUGCCAGCAGCCGCGGUAAUACGUAGGUGGCAAGCGUUAUCCGGAAUUAUUGGGCGUAAAGCGCGCGUAGGCGGUUUUUUAAGUCUGAUGUGAAAGCCCACGGCUCAACCGUGGAGGGUCAUUGGAAACUGGAAAACUUGAGUGCAGAAGAGGAAAGUGGAAUUCCAUGUGUAGCGGUGAAAUGCGCAGAGAUAUGGAGGAACACCAGUGGCGAAGGCGACUUUCUGGUCUGUAACUGACGCUGAUGUGCGAAAGCGUGGGGAUCAAACAGGAUUAGAUACCCUGGUAGUCCACGCCGUAAACGAUGAGUGCUAAGUGUUAGGGGGUUUCCGCCCCUUAGUGCUGCAGCUAACGCAUUAAGCACUCCGCCUGGGGAGUACGACCGCAAGGUUGAAACUCAAAGGAAUUGACGGGGACCCGCACAAGCGGUGGAGCAUGUGGUUUAAUUCGAAGCAACGCGAAGAACCUUACCAAAUCUUGACAUCCUCUGACCCCUCUAGAGAUAGAGUUUUCCCCUUCGGGGGACAGAGUGACAGGUGGUGCAUGGUUGUCGUCAGCUCGUGUCGUGAGAUGUUGGGUUAAGUCCCGCAACGAGCGCAACCCUUAAGCUUAGUUGCCAUCAUUAAGUUGGGCACUCUAAGUUGACUGCCGGUGACAAACCGGAGGAAGGUGGGGAUGACGUCAAAUCAUCAUGCCCCUUAUGAUUUGGGCUACACACGUGCUACAAUGGACAAUACAAAGGGCAGCGAAACCGCGAGGUCAAGCAAAUCCCAUAAAGUUGUUCUCAGUUCGGAUUGUAGUCUGCAACUCGACUAUAUGAAGCUGGAAUCGCUAGUAAUCGUA
rnacentral:rRNA from 17 species